rnacentral:rRNA from 1 species
GGGUCAGUAGGUUGGUCGUGCCACCGGUACGUACUGGUCUCACUGAUUCCUCCUUCCUGAAGAACCGUAAUGCCAUUAAUUUGGUGUUGCGGGGAAACAGGACUGUUACUUUGAAAAAAUUAGAGUGUUUAAAGCAAGCUAACGCUUGAAUACAUUAGCAUGGAAUAAUGAAAUAGGACGAUCGAUCCUAUUUUGUUGGUUUCGAGGAUUGACGUA